rnacentral:rRNA from 1 species
CCUACGGGAGGCAGCAGUGGGGAAUAUUGGGCAAUGGGCGCAAGCCUGACCCAGCAACGCCGCGUGAAGGAAGAAGGCUUUCGGGUUGUAAACUUCUUUUCUCAGGGACGAAGAAAGUGACGGUACCUGAGGAAUAAGCCACGGCUAACUACGUGCCAGCAGCCGCGGUAAUACGUAGGUGGCAAGCGUUAUCCGGAUUUAUUGGGUGUAAAGGGCGUGUAGGCGGGAGCGCAAGUCAGAUGUGAAAACUCAGGGCUCAACCCUGAGCCUGCAUUUGAAACUGUGUUUCUUGAGUGCUGGGGAGGCAAUCGGAAUUCCGUGUGUAGUGGUGAAAUGCGUAGAUAUACGGAGGAACACCAGUGGCGAAGGCGGAUUGCUGGACAGUAACUGACGCUGAGGCGCGAAAGCGUGGGGAGCAAACAGGAUUAGAUACCCCAGUAGUC